rnacentral:tRNA from 1 species
GGGCGAUUAGCUCAGUUGGGAGAGCGCCUCGCUUACACCGAGGAGGUUCACAGGUUCGAGCCCUGUAUCGCCCA